rnacentral:lncRNA from 1 species
AACAAAUCAGCCAGUCAUUGCAGUGCCAAAACUUCAACACAUGUAUCCUUAUGUUUGGUAUUACAACAAUAGAAUUCACAAGUUAUACAUGUACCAACACUGCAACACAUCCUAAUUUACUAGUCCCCUAGACAAAUGAUUUGUAUGUUGAAGAAAUUACAACAGCUAGGCCGGUAUUAAUGCUAUAACAUGAGAUGACAAUUCGGAUUUGAAUACCGAACAAAAUCUGAAAACAGUCCCAGGAACUAGGAUAGACAAGUUUUGCACUUUAAUAGUACCAUGAUCUGUAUAUUCUCCGGAAGACAUUGUUUUUUAUAUGAUAGGGCUACUUAGGUUCCUUGGAAAUUUCAUGUUUUGCUUUGUCUAACUUCACUGUCUUUAUAAUUUUCUUAUAACAUACUUUUCUAAGUAAGUACAUAAGCGUGCAUUUGAGAAUAUCACUAGAUUUGUAUUACAUAAGCACGUGACAUGCUACUGAUAAAAUCCUGCAUUGAUGUUGUUUUGUUUCUAUUUGUUGCAGUAGUUUUCUUAUUUUUGGCUAUGGGUUUUGAAGGUGUCAAAGAAAUUACUCUGUUGUUCUUGUGCUUGUUUUCUAAGUCUAAAUUGAUCAGAUCUCACUCAUAUCAGUAGGUGCAGAUUUAUUCAACCUUGGUAGGGUCGUUUUGUGUGUGAAUGAUCUCUUUUGAUACAUGACAUUUUUUUUUCUGAUUGUCACAGUGAAUUUGUAUUUGAUUCCUGUUAUUUUGUGUUUAUCAGAGAUGUGUAUACUGUUCUAUUUGUUUGGGGUGAGAUAUUGCCCAGUAUCCUUGACAUAAUAGGCCUCAAAUGAGUUUGUAUUAUCUCUUUCAGGUUGUGAUCUGCAUAAGUGUAUGUUCUCUAGUGACAAAUGAAUUUGCCUAUUUCUUUAAUGCUUGUGACCUCUUUGAACUUCAUUGUUCUUUUAAGUUUUAAUAGAAUGAAAUUUUGCAUUUUAAUGUCUUAGGAAUGCACUGCUUUCAAGAUAGAUUAGCUUUGCAAGUGAUUCUUUGUUUCUUUUAGAUUUCUCUUGUCUUUAAAAUGCUGAAAUUUAUAAAGAGUUGUCUUCCAGUAGUCCAUUUAUGCCUAAAUAGUUGUAUCUGCAAUGCAACCUGGUAUGGGCUAUGUGCAGGAGGGGUCUCUGUUGUUGUGUGUCAAAAAGUGAUGGGAAUGGAGACAAGUUAAGGACUAUUGCUUUAGCCAUUAGAGCAGCACUGCUUCCUUCAGAUGCUUAGAAAUUUUUCAUUGGAGAUUUAUGACAAGAGAGCUUCAGUUUAUGGUUGGUUCUGGUUCCAGUGAAAAUGAUCAAACUUCCUCUUCUAAAUCCUUAUUAGGGUCCUGAUAAGCAUCUAGCUGUAGUUUUUCAAGAGAUUGUUUUUGCCUAAUUCAUAGUUACUUUAACAUUUGGCUUGUAAAUUAAGUUAGAAACAAAUUCCACCUCAGGAGGUUUCUUGAAUGUCAACUUGUUGUUGAUAAAUGUGUCCAUUGAUGUGUUUUGCCUGUUAAUUUAUUGUUAUGGAUUGGUUUGGCUUACUGUGAAUUUGAGCAUAUUAAAUACACAUGAUUUAUUUCACUAACUUAUAAUUUUAUUUUGAAUAUGCAG